rnacentral:tRNA from 1 species
UGGAAAAAUUAGUUUAAUAAAAAGAAAAAUCUGUCAGGUUUUUGAUACUUUUGGGUAUUUUUCU